GAGGUGCUGCAUGGCUGUCGUCAGCUCGUGUCGUGAGAUGUUGGGUUAAGUCCCGGCAACGAGCGCAACCCCUGUCCUAUGUUGCUACCCGCAAGGGAGUACUCUUAGGAGACUGCCGGUGAUAAAUCGGAGGAAGGUGGGGACGACGUCAAGUCAUCAUGGCCUUUAUGUCCAGGGCUACACACGUGAUACAAUGGCAUAGACAGAGGGCUGCAAUGUGGCAACACGGAGCUAAAUCCCUAAACUGUGCCCCAGUUCAGAUUGUGGGCUGAAAUUCGCCCACAUGAAGGUGGAAUCGCUAGUAAUCGCAGAUCAGCAGGCUGCGGUGAAUACGUUCCCGGGCCUU
rnacentral:rRNA from 1 species